GGACCAAGGAGUCUAGCAUGUAACCGAGUUUUUCGGCGUAAAACCCGAAGAGCGCAGUGAAAGCGUUUGCCGCGUCGUUUCGCACGGCGUGUAUAUUGCAUUUGCAGAGAUGAUGGUGGUCAUAAUUGGCCGCUCGCAAUCUCGGGAUGGUCUCGUUUUCGAUUUAUCGAAUGAGCCAUACUCGUAGGUUACACGCUAAGCCCCGAAAGAUGGUGAACUAUGCCUGACAAGGACGAAGUCUGGGGAAACCCUGAUGGAGGUCCGUAACGCUUCUGACGUGCAAAUCGAUCGGCAUAGUUGGGUAUAGGGGCGAAAGACCAAUCGAACCAUCUAGUAGCUGGUUCCUUUCGAAGUUUCCUUCAGGAUAGCUAGACGUGAUUAACAUGUGUACGUUUUACGCGUACUACACGUAGUCACAUGCGGUAAAGCGAAUGAUUAGAAGUAUUGGGGCCGAAACGGCUUCAACUUAUUCUCAAACUUUCAAUGUGUGUGCUCCGCGAGCUUUCAAAAAUUUUCCUUUUUCGGAAGGAAUUGAAGCUCCAGACAGAUAUAACACGUCUAAGUGGGCCAUUUUUGGUAAGCAGAACUGGCGAUGUGGGAUGAACCAAACAACAAGUUAAAGUGCCUAAGCCGACGCUUAUGAGAUACCAAAAAAGGCGUUAGUAACUAAAGACAGCAGGACGGUGGCCAUAGAAGUCGGA
rnacentral:rRNA from 1 species